rnacentral:rRNA from 1 species
GAGUUUGAUCCUGGCUCAGGACGAACGCUGGCGGCGUGCUUAAUGCAUGCAAGUCGAGGGAGAACCAUUUUGUUCGUAAGUUCGAGAUGGGGAAACCGGCGAACGGGUGCGUAACACGUGAGAAACCUGCCCUGGAGAUCGGGAUAGCCCGGGGAAACCCGGAUUAAUACCGGAUACCUUCAUUGGAUCGCAUGGUCCGAUGAAGAAACGCUCCGGCGCUUCAGGAUGGUCUCGCGGCCUAUCAGCUUGUUGGUGAGGUAACGGCUCACCAAGGCUCCGACGGGUAGCUGGUCUGAGAGGACGAUCAGCCACACUGGGACUGAGACACGGCCCAGACUCCUACGGGAGGCAGCAGCAGGGAAUAUUGCACAAUGGGCGAAAGCCUGAUGCAGCAACGCCGCGUGCGGGAUGAAGGCCUUCGGGUUGUAAACCGCUUUCAGUAGGGAAGAAAAUGACGGUACCUACAGAAGAAGCCCCGGCCAACUACGUGCCAGCAGCCGCGGUAACACGUGGGGGGCAAGCGUUGUCCGGAUUUAUUGGGCGUAAAGGGCUCGUAGGCGGCUUAGCAAGUCGGGCGUGAAAACCCGGGGCUCAACCCCGGGACGCCGUUCGAAACUGCUAUAGCUAGUGUCCGGUAGAGGUGAGUGGAAUUCUCGGUGUAGCGGUGAAAUGCGCAGAUAUCGAGAGGAACACCAGUAGCAGGAACACCAGUAGGGAAGGCGGCUCACUGGCCCGGUACAGACGCUGAGGAGCGAAAGCGUGGGGAGCAACCAGGAUUAGAUACCCUGGUAGUCCACGCCGUAAACGUUGAACACUAGGUGUGGUGGACAGAUCCAUGUCUGCCGUGCCGAAGCUAACGCAUUAAGUGUUCCGCCUGGGGAGUACGGCCGCAAGGCUAAAACUCAAAGGAAUUGACGGGGCCCCGCACAAGCGGCGGAGCAUGCGGCUUAAUUCGAUGCAACCCGAAGAACCUUACCUGGACUUGACAUCAUGGGUCUAUCUGUGGAAACACAGAGUGCUUAGGCGCCCAUGACAGGUGGUGCAUGGCUGUCGUCAGCUCGUGUCGUGAGAUGUUGGGUUAAGUCCCGCAACGAGCGCAACCCCUGUCCUAUGUUGCCAGCACGUAAUGGUGGGGACUCAUAGGAGACUGCCGGGGACAACUCGGAGGAAGGCGGGGACGACGUCAAGUCAUCAUGCCCCUUAUGUUCAGGGCUGCACGCAUGCUACAAUGGGCCGUACAAUGGGCUGCGAUCGCGCGAGCGUGAGCGAAUCCCCUAAAACGGUCCCCAGUUCGGAUUGGAGUCUGCAACUCGACUCCAUGAAGUCGGAGUCGCUAGUAAUCGCAGAUCAGCAAAGCUGCGGUGAAUACGUUCUCGGGGCUUGUACACACCGCCCGUCACAUCACGGAAGUCGGUAACACCCGAAGUCAGUGGCCCAACCUUAGGGAGGGAGCUGCCGAAGGUGGGAUCGGUAACUGGGAUGAAGUCGUAACAAGGUAGCCGUACGGGAACGUGCGGCUGGAUCACCUCCUUUCU